UACGUAGGUGGCAAGCGUUAUCCGGAAUUAUUGGGCGUAAAGCGCGCGCAGGCGGUUUCUUAAGUCUGAUGUGAAAGCCCACGGCUCAACCGUGGAGGGUCAUUGGAAACUGGGGAACUUGAGUGCAGAAGAGAAAAGCGGAAUUCCGGGUGUAGUGGUGAAAUGCGUAGAGAUCCGGAGGAACACCAGUGGCGAAGGCGGCUGGCUGGACCUGACCUGACGCUGAGGCGCGAAGGCGUGGGGAGCGAACGGG
rnacentral:rRNA from 1 species